AGAGUUUGAUCCUGGCUCAGGAUGAACGCUAGCUACAGGCUUAACACAUGCAAGUCGAGGGGAAACGACAUCGAAAGCUUGCUUUUGAUGGGCGUCGACCGGCGCACGGGUGAGUAACGCGUAUCCAACCUGCCCACCACUUGGGGAUAACCUUGCGAAAGUAAGACUAAUACCCAAUGACGUCUCUAGAAGACAUCUGAAAGAGAUUAAAGAUUUAUCGGUGAUGGAUGGGGAUGCGUCUGAUUAGCUUGUUGGCGGGGUAACGGCCCACCAAGGCGACGAUCAGUAGGGGUUCUGAGAGGAAGGUCCCCCACAUUGGAACUGAGACACGGUCCAAACUCCUACGGGAGGCAGCAGUGAGGAAUAUUGGUCAAUGGACGAGAGUCUGAACCAGCCAAGUAGCGUGCAGGAUGACGGCCCUAUGGGUUGUAAACUGCUUUUAUAAGGGAAUAAAGUGAGUCUCGUGAGACUUUUUGCAUGUACCUUAUGAAUAAGGACCGGCUAAUUCCGUGCCAGCAGCCGCGGUAAUACGGAAGGUCCGGGCGUUAUCCGGAUUUAUUGGGUUUAAAGGGAGCGUAGGCCGGAGAUUAAGCGUGUUGUGAAAUGUAGAUGCUCAACAUCUGCACUGCAGCGCGAACUGGUUUCCUUGAGUACGCACAAAGUGGGCGGAAUUCGUGGUGUAGCGGUGAAAUGCUUAGAUAUCACGAAGAACUCCGAUUGCGAAGGCAGCUCACUGGAGCGCAACUGACGCUGAAGCUCGAAAGUGCGGGUAUCGAACAGGAUUAGAUACCCUGGUAGUCCGCACGGUAAACGAUGGAUGCCCGCUGUUGGUCUGAAUAGGUCAGCGGCCAAGCGAAAGCAUUAAGCAUCCCACCUGGGGAGUACGCCGGCAACGGUGAAACUCAAAGGAAUUGACGGGGGCCCGCACAAGCGGAGGAACAUGUG
rnacentral:rRNA from 1 species